CUGGAUGUCAACAGUCUUUAGAAAUUGGUUGAUGUUUUUCUUUAGAGAAAUGAAGAAGUAAGGCAGUUCAGAACGAGGGUCCAGCCGAGUGCUCUCUAAUGUUUUGAUGAGCGCUCCAGGUCACGAGCUUCACGUUGUAUUUAUCAGCAUGAAGAUGACAGCAGGCUGCACGAGACAGUGGGAAUGGUGACGGACAGGACAUGAACCAUGUAUCCUGGACCUACUGAAAACACUCCACAUGGCCGGUAUAGCUGAACACUCCCAGAGCCCAGCCCAGCCCAGGCCAGUCCACAUUCAUUAGCCAGUGGCUCUCUCUCCCGGAGCUGCCUGCUGCCUAUCUGCCUGUUUGCUGACUGCUUGUGGAAAAAACCAUUUAGCCUGCUGAAUGUCAAGGUUAGUGUGCGCUGUCCUUGUCAUCAGUCUCUGCGGCAGAAGGUCAGGGAUAAGCUUUCCUCAAAUGGGCAGCGUCAAACAAAG
rnacentral:lncRNA from 1 species